AUUCAAAUAGCUUAUAUUUAGAGUAUGACACUGAAGAUGUUAGGGAAAUUGUUUUAAUUUUUGAAUA
rnacentral:tRNA from 1 species